CCUACGGGAGGCAGCAGUGAGGAAUAUUGGUCAAUGGUCGGGAGACUGAACCAGCCAAGCCGCGUGAGGGAUGAAGGUACAGAGUAUCGUAAACCUCUUUUGUCAGGGAACAAAGGCGGGGACGUGUCCCCGGAUGAGUGUACCUGAAGAAAAAGCAUCGGCUAACUCCGUGCCAGCAGCCGCGGUAAUACGGAGGAUGCGAGGUUUAUCCGGAUUUAUGGGGUUUAAAGGGUGCGCGGGCGGUCUGUUAAGUCAGCGGUCAAAGCCCGGGGCUCAACCCCGGCCCGCCGUUGAAACUGGCAGUCUCGAGUUGGAGAGAGGUAUGCGGAAUGCGCGGUGUAGCGGUGAAAUGCAUAGAUAGCGCGCAGAACUCCGAUUGCGAAGGCAGCAUGCCGGCUCCACACUGACGCUGAGGCACGAAAGCGUGGGUAUCGAACAGGAUUAGAUACCCUAGUAGUC
rnacentral:rRNA from 1 species